ACGGCUGUCUGUGCGGGUCGCUACAACACUAAUACGUCUGUUGUUAGGGCUACUAAUAAUGACUCACCAAAGUUAAACUUCAGGCUUCUUCAGGAUAUAGUUUUGACAGGCUACUGAGUACUUGUGAGAAAGAUAAUCGUAAAGGUAACGUCAGCUGUAUUUCAUCGCAGAUUUCGGAACACAGUUGUGUAUUUAGGGGGAAUUAAGAGCUCCCAGUUGUCUUGAAAGCACCGUCAAUCCAGAGAAUGCCAGACUUUGAUGACAAAAGUUUGACAAAAUGUGCCCACAAGGACUGCAGCACCACCUUCCUGUUCAAGUGAGCAUAGCACAAGGUCCAUUACCAGCCUUCGCAUCUCUCCUCCUCAAAUCUGUGGACCUGGCCAGGGGGAGGCCUUUUACGAGGGUGGAUGAGGCAGCAAUUCUAGCAUUAGGGGGUUUGCUUGUUGGUAGGUGCCGCUUAGCUGUCCUCUGAGCUCCCUUGUUGUUUCUGGAUGGAGCUGGCUUCAGGUUCUUGUCUACAGAGGGACACACAGGUAGUAGCUUAUUAUAACACAUUACACAAAGGGAAAUUGCUAUAGUCAAACACACAAAUGUGAAUUUAAGAG
ensembl:lncRNA